UACGUAGGGGGCAAGCGUUGUCCGGAUUUAUUGGGCGUAAAGAGCGUGUAGGCGGCUUGGUAGGUCCGCUGUGAAAACUCGAGGCUCAACCUCGAGAUGUCGGCGGAAACCACUUGGCUAGAGUCCGGAAGAGGAGAGUGGAAUUCCUGGUGUAGCGGUGAAAUGCGCAGAUAUCAGGAGGAACACCGAUGGCGAAGGCAGGUCUCUGGGCCACUACUGACGCUGAGAAGCGAAAGCCAGGGGAGCAAACGGG
rnacentral:rRNA from 1 species